CCCUAUUAUUUUUGAAUGUUAAUUGUUUUGUGCUUGAGUAGUAUUAGUUAGGUUCUUGAAACUUAAAGAAUUUGGCGGUAUCUCAUUCCUUCCAGAGGAAUCUGUCUCGUUAUCGAUAGUCCGCGUUGGACCUUACUUAGAAUUUAUUUGUUUGUAUACCGCCGUUUAUUGAUUAUCUUUUUAGAGUUUUUAAUUUUCUGGUUUCUUUAUUUUGGUUUAUUUCAGGUCAAGGUGCAGCUUGUUUUUAAGUGAAUGAUGGAUUACAUUGUUAUUUGUUUUAUGGAUUGUUGAUUUUAAUAUUGAUAUGAAAUUGGAUUUGGUUGUAAUUUUUUGUAGAUUGUUAUUGUGAUAAGUGGUUCUGGGAUAUGUACACAUCGCCCGUCGCUCUCGUUUUGUUGUUAAUGAGAUAAGUC
rnacentral:rRNA from 1 species